rnacentral:rRNA from 1 species
UACGUAGGGCGCAAGCGUUGUCCGGAAUCAUUGGGCGUAAAGAGCUCGUAGGUGGUCUGUUACGUCUGCUGUGAAAUCCUAGGGCUUAACCCUGGGCCUGCAGUGGAUACGGGCAGACUAGAGGUAGGUAGGGGAAAAUGGAAUUCCCGGUGUAGCGGUGAAAUGCGCAGAUAUCGGGAGGAACACCGGUGGCGAAGGCGGUUCUCUGGGCCUUACCUGACACUGAGGAGCGAAAGCGUGGGGAGCGAACAGG